rnacentral:lncRNA from 1 species
CCUCAAGGAGCGGAGCUCAUCGGAGCCUUGAAUCGAAACGGCCUGGGCUCUCUCAGACAACUGCUUCUGGAGGCGAGCAACCUCGUCGGUCGCCGUCUUGAGCCUCCUUCUGUAGUCGUCUACUUGUCCGCACCAGCCGACUCGAUAGGCAUUGUAAUUUACCUCGGUGUCCUGUAGCUACUUCUGGAGGUCAGAGAAUUUCUUCGACCAGUCCCGAUUAUGGUCGGCUUGAGUUGUAAGCCAGGACAAGCUCCCUUUCAAUUGAUCGAUCUUCUCCUGUGCGG